ACUUGGAAGGGACCCAGUAAGGGAUCUGUUGCGCCACAGGGGUCUCCAGGGCCCUCGCAGGUUGGGGUGGUCUGAGCUAGUCUGAAGGAGGACAGUCAGCUGACUUCUCCUUUAUCUCUCUUUCCCAGGAUAGCAGGUUCCCUUGGUGUAUUACAGUUUCUGAAGUGUUGAUUCCCUUUUCAAUUGAUUCCACAGAUGACAGUCCUGACGUUUAAAAAAUUGCCAGAUAACCUUUAAUUUUUUUUUUUUUAACAGAACACAAACUUAAGCCAGAUUGCCUAGGAUUGAACCUUGGCCUCUCACUUCCUAGACGAGUGGCCUUGGCUAGUUAACCACCUUCGUGAGCCUCAGUUUUGUCAUCUGUAAAAUGGGAGUCAUAAGUGUCUACCUCACAGAGCUGUGAUUGAAAGGAUAAAUAGCACCUUGCACAUAGCGGUGUAGAAGUGCUUGUUAUUGUUAAUAUUUUAUUUACCUUCACGCAGGUAACAGCCACAACAUCUGCCCACUCUUCCCCACACCUUACUGUCCCUUGAAAUGUUUCCCAUUUUACUAUAGUAUGCAUUUUUUGGCUUCUUCCCUUUAGGGAAAUGAGUAUGUGAUAGUAAAGCGUGUCUUGGUUUAUGUCCUAGGAGUCAGAAGCUAAGAGACUCCUUUUUGUGCUUGUACAUUUGUCUUAACUGAAAAUAACCCAAGGAUAAGGAAACAAAUAGCUUCCUGAAAUUACUCGGAUUGCGGGGGUGAGGGGUGAGGGCUGGGGGGUGGUGAUUCUGUCUUCAUAGGAUGGCAGCAAAGGCCAAAGUCUUAUUUGAGUUAUUACCAUUAUUAUUCACCACACUUGCCAUCUUAUUUCAAGCCUACAGUGGCGGAAGUGGAGUAAGACAUCAUGUUGCCUCAAGUUUAAUUGGAAAUCGCGUGCCUUGUGAAGAAUGGACACUCAGUAGAUGCUUAUUGAUGAACCUGUUGGUUGAGGAUAACUCGCUAACUUUUCUGAGCUUUGUUGGAAAAACUGUGAGUACCUAUGUUGGGUAGAAAUUGGAAGACAGCCCCUAGCAUUUUACAUCAUCCUUGGAGCUUUAUUUAUAGUCAUUAAAUGCAGAAGACUCCCCAGUUCAUGAAUUUAUUGUGCUCAACAGGACAACUGCUGAGGUCUAGUGCAUGUGUGGCACAAGAAAAUGUUUAUCAAGCCUCAUAUGUCAAAUUAACGAACUACAUAAGAAACAGAAAUGAAGAUUGUUUUCUCAUCACUUGUCAAUACAUUUUUAAAGGAUACUGCGAUUACAUAGAAAUAAUUUUAUUUUAUUUAUUUAUUUAUUUUGAGACGGAGUUUCGCUGUUGUCGCCCAGGCUGGAGUGCAAUGGCACGAUAUCGGCUCACUGCAACCUCCGCCUCCCAGGUUCAAGCAAUUCUCCUGCCUCAGCCUCCCAAGUAGCUGGAAUUACAGGCACCAGCCACCACGCCUGGCUAAUUUUUAUAUUUUUAGUAGAGAUGGGGUUUCACCACGUUGGCUAGGCUGGUCUCAAACUCCUGACCUCAGGUGAUCUGCCCGCCUCAGCCUCCCAAAGUGCUGGGAUUAUAGGUGUGAGCCACCGCACCCAGCCAUGUAAAAAUAAUUUUAAAGGCUUGAUUUUCUGGAACGUAAAGUAAGAAGAGGUAUAUUUCACAGCCUGUAUAUCAAUGUCAAAUGGAAAUGUGGAGAAUUGAAUUGGAUUGAAUUAUUUUGGGAAUUUGCACCAAACAUCCCUGUUGGUUUCUUCAAAAUGACAAAAACUGUAAGGAAAGUGAGAAAUGACAAGGUAAAUAGAAUAAGAUAAUACAAAAAUGUUACAAGUAAUGUCAAUACAUUUAACUGCAUACAUGAGAAAAUAUUUAAAGGUUGAUUAGUGUAACAUGAGUUUGCUCUAUUAAUUGAGAAAGUUCAGUUCUGUAGUAGAGCACAGAAUGAGGUGGAUUAAUCCCAUAGGAUGUGCUAAGCACAGAUAAUGAGUAAGCGAGUAGCUUGUGAGACAUAGGUAGAAUUCAUAAUAUACUAAAUAUAGACUGAUAUAUGUACUAUAUUAUUAUAUUUACCAUAUUACUGUAUUAUUGUAUUUAUUAUAUUUACUAUAUUAAAUAUAUUUACUAUAUUACUAUAUUAUUUAUAGAUGGAAAGGGAUGGAAAGAACCAGCCACUUAUACCAGCCACUUAUGGUCCUACUCUGGGCCCACAUGUGCUCUACCUAAGAAAUCCUUAUAGUACCCAUAGCUUUUUGCAGGCUGAUUGACAAGUUAUGGCUGUGGCCAGGCGUACUUGUCACUGUCUCUCUUUAAUAGAGCAAGUGUGUAUCAUUGGCCCCAAGCACCUUCUGUCUGUUGACCUGGCUCAAACUUCAAUCUGACCAUCAGUGAAGAAGGCUGAUGCCGCAGAUGGAGAGAGACACAGGAUGUAUGAAUGUAGCAUAACUCAGGAUUCACCUCGUGUGGUCCUUCCCACUUGAACCCUAUCCUAAGUGUGAAAGUUACCCCAUCGCUUUCCUCUUGCUUCAGAUUAUGUGCUUUAAAGUGAUUUAAUAAACUAUGCGAUUCAAACAUCUUAAUUUGAUCUUUGAGCCUGUUUUGUGACUUCCGGGAUAGCUUGCCUUGUAGUGUACUUGUAGGUCACCAUUGCAUCAAGGUAAUUUCUCAUGACAACUACAAAAAACUUAGAAAAUAAGAACAUAGCAUUGUAUAGCAUAAAGGAAAGCAAUCUGAAGAGGAGAAAGACAGGUAGUCACAAAUUGUGUCAUUAAUAGACUGAAAGACCAAAAAAGUAAAGGACAAACCAAAAGACAGUGUGGAGAAGAUUUUUUUCUAAAUUGAUUUAUAGAAAAAGGAAUGAGACAAGAAAGAAAGACAUGGUUUGGGCAAUGUAUAAAUGUCAUUGAUCCCAAUUCUACUUUAUUUCUGAGACCAAAAUAACAGUUUCAGAGGUGACUACCACAAGGUCCAACAAGUGGACUCAUCCCUGAAUUUCUUCCUCCUCCUCCUUCUUUCUUCUUCCUCCUCCUCCUCUUCUUUCUUUCCUUCUUUCCUUUCCUCUUUCUCUCUCUUUCUUUUUCUUUCUUUCUUCCUUUCUUUCUCUCUCUCUUUCUCUCUAUUUCUUUCUUUCUGUGUCUCUCUCUUUCUUUUUCUUUUUUUCUUUCCUUUUCUUUCUUCUUUUUUUUUUUCCUCAAAAAGAAUCUCUUGCUCUGCUGCCCAGGCUGGAGUACAGUGGUGUGAUCACAGCUCACUAUAAUCUCAAACUCCUGGGCUCAAGUAAUCCUCUCACUUCAGCCUCCCAAGUAGCUAGGACAACAGGUGCACAUCACCACACCCAGCUAAUUUUUUAUUUUAUUUUUUCUAGAGACAGGGGUCUCACUAUGUGAUGCAGGAUGAUCUCAAACUCCCUGGCCUCAAGCGAUCCUCCUGCCUUGGUCUCCUAAAGUGCUGGGAUUACAGGUAUGAGCCACUGCACCUGGCCUAUCCUGAAUUUUUUUAAUUCAUGCUACAUAGCAUUACAAGUUUGUAAAAAAAAAAAAAAGUUUACGACAUUUUUAAAGACAGAAAAGUAAUAGGCUUUAAAAAUACCUAUAACUAGGAAGGAAAUGCAUAUAAAAUACUACUUUCAAUA
rnacentral:lncRNA from 1 species